UGCCCUGGUGACGUGACGUUCCUCUGGGGUAGUGCUCUCUGGUGGAAAGAGGCGCGGCCGCCAUUUUUAGAGCGUGAGGUACCCAGUGAUCCGACUGACGAGUCCGGGCGUAGUGCGACUCCAACCGCUCAGGGUCCUGCGACGUAGAUUAACCACAGCCGCACUUUGGCCGUCACCACCCAACACACCGACGAUGUCCUCAUGAAACUCGACCUGGUGGGGAUAACUGAAAAGAAAAUAAGAGAGCCCUGGAGAUACGAAACGCUGGUGCUGAGAGGACAAGGGCUCUGUGCUACCUGGGGUCACAGAAGUAAAGCAAUUCAUUCAAUCACCUGGCCACACCGUGGAUGAGAAAACAUCAUUCAGAGGCUGCAAUACUGCUGGAGGAGGGAGAACAGACCUAUGCUGAUAGAGAAAUACUGAGACUUACAAUAUUAUCAGUACGUCAUGGAGGAUGAUAACUUCUCACAGCAUUGUUGAAUAUGUGCUACAUGCAACUGGGGAGCAUGUCAUUACUGGUCUGAUGUAUACACAUUUUAGUCUGAACCUGAAAUAAUGACUCUCUAGGACUUUGUAUAAAAUAAUAUUGAAAUCUGCUACACCUUUCUUUCAUUCUGAUAGAUUUAAGGGCAAAAUUCAAACUACCCAGCCCAGCCUGCAAGACCCUUAAUGAUCAGGCCCUUGUCAUGUGGAACUACUGAGUUCUCCGAACAUAUUAUACUAUUUCCACACCCUUUCACAUGCUGUUUCCUCUGCCUGCAAAGUCCUUCCUCUAAUUCUUUGUGUAGUUAACUUCUAUCGGUCCUUCAAAACUCAGAUCAAAGCGUCUCCCUCAAGUGUCCCCACUUCCAGAAUACUUUCUCUAACUCGCCACUCUGCUUUGAUCUUCACACAGCUGCCCCCUCCUACAUUCUCCAUGUGUACAAUCAUCCCAGAACUCAUUAGUAUUUCAUUACCAUAGUCUUCUACAGCAGAUUGUAGGCUUGAUUAGAGAGGGAACUAUAUCUUAUUUGACUUUUAUCACUAGCACCUAGCAUAGAAUGUGACUUAUGGUAGAAGCUCAGUGGAUGAAUGCUGAGCAAGUGAACAAAGUAGAAAAGACUCAAAGAUUAAAAAGAUGCAGUCUCUAUCUUCACCGAGUUUAUAAACCAAUAAAGUGAAGAAGUAAUGGACAGGUACAAGCAAAAUUAUAAUAGAGUAUAAGAUAGGAGAGAUAAAACUCAGUGCUAUGAAGAUUCAAAAAGAAGAAGAAGAAAUGACUAUAGCUGAUGGAGAUGACCAGAAAAUUCCUCACAAAGGAAUGGCUUUUGAUGUCAUCCUUGAAGAUAAAGUAAGUUUUGACAGGCAAUGAUAGAGCCAGGGCCUGGGAUGCGAGGCAUUCUGGGUGAAGGAAGCAGAACAAAGAAAACCACUUAUGUGAUGGUGUACCAGAUAUAUUCCAAGAGCAGUGAGGCAUGCACAGUUCAGCUGACUCUGAAAGGGUUUGAAAAGGGGUUAGGGUAGUUUGGAGACUAUACAGUGAAGGACACUGAAUGUCAGGGUGAAGAGUUAGAAUGUAAUUUGGAAGAUAACAGGUUGCUACAGGAGGCUUUUGUUUUGUUUUUAACAGAGUGCUCUUGGCAUAGGAAGGGACCAGCCAUAUGUAGCAAUAGUCUAAGAGGAAGGUUAUGACAGCCCAUGUGCAGGAGAUUUUGAUUACAAAGAAGGAGAGAACGAAUGCAAGAGACAUUAUGGAGAGAACCUGUGGGUCUUAGGCUGAUUGGAUAUGGAGAUGGAGGAAGAGAAUGGAGUCAAGAAUGGCUUCAGUGUUUGUUGUGCUUCUAUGACUAAGAGGGUGGUAGUGCUACAAACAGGAAUGGAGGAGUCAGAAGGAAGGGGUGGUUUGUGGGCAGGAAGAGGAAAACAAAAGCAAAAAGAUUAAGAACUAAAUAUUUUUACGUCACCUUGUCUAAUCUUAACAGUAACCUUUUGUGAUAGUUUUUUAUUUUCUCAUUUCACAGAUGACAUUCAGAUGAGUUAAAUAACUGUUUUAAGACUAUGCAGAUAGAGUUUGAACCUAGGCUUUCUGACUCUAACCCCACUGUCUAUUUUUUACUUUACAGCUGAGUUCCCUUUUAAAUGUGUUGAGUUUGCCUUGCCAGUUGGACAUUCGGCUAGAAAUGUCUAAUAGGUAGAAAUUCAGGACUGGAGUAAAGGAGAGAGAUUGUAACUUUAAGUAAUUUUUGAAAGUGCAGGAGUAGAAGAGACUGUCAAGGGAGAUUGUAAAAAGAAAAUAGGAAAUGUCUAACUAAAAGAAAAAAAAAGAGAGAGAGAGAGAGGUGAAGUUACACGGAAGGAAUGGCUAACAGCAACAAGAUCUGCAGGUUAGGAGAGUGAGGGCCCCUCAUGUCACUGGGUGUCCUCACUCAUUCAGUAAGACCUGAAUGUGUGAGCAUCCACAGUGGUGAUAUACACAUUGACUAAGAUAUUCAGUUACACACAGAGAUGCCUACAAACGUUCAUUAAUAUACAAAUGAUGCACCCAUUUAGCAAAUGUAGAAUGCACAUGGUUUUAAAUGGCUGGAGCAUAAUAUAAUCUAUUAAAAUCACUUCAAAAUCCUAAACAAGCAUUUAAUAAAUACUGUUAACUGACCUGCUGACUUAAACCAUAUCAAAAACAAAUAUAAAACAGUAUAAAACAAAAAGUCUGAGUUUCUGUAGCUCUCUAAAACAGUACAGCCUGAAAUGUUUAUAUAUAAAAAGUUAAUUACUGAAAGUUAUUUUAUAGACAAAAGUGAACCUACUAAGUGAGUAUCUAUAUAUUGAUAUAGAGACUUCAAUUAGUUAUCUAUUGAGUUAUGAAUCCAGCCAGCCCUAUGCUAGAUGUAAUGACUUAUAAGGCACAACCUGUCUGUCCCCAAGGAGCUCACAGAGUCACUUAUAUAUUGUUUUGUGGUACUUUGAAGUUAUUUCUUUAAAUUGUAAAUGCCAUGUAUCUAUAACCAGGUUUAAAAAGCUUCUCAAGCACAAGGACAGCAUCUUUGAUGCAUUGGAGUCCCCAUUUGAUAAAUGUUGAUAAAUGUUGUCUGAUGUCAAUAGAUAACUCAGUUGGCAAUACAGAGGUAAAUAAUAUGAUCUAUAAUGAAAAUGCUGUAGUGGCAACAAUCUACUC